UCUGUUUGAUCCUGGCAGAGGUCACUGCUAUCGGGGUUCGAUUAAGCCAUGCGAGUCGAGAGGGUUCAGACCCUCGGCGGACUGCUCAGUAACACGUGGAUAAUCUGCCCUAUGGUGGAGGAUAACCCCGGGAAACUGGGGAUAAUACUCCAUAAGUCAGGAGUACUGGAAUGUCUCCUAACUGAAAGUUGCGGCGCCAUAGGAUGAAUCUGCGGCCGAUUAGGUAGUUGUUGGGGUAACGGCCCAACAAGCCUGUAAUCGGUACGGGUUGUGGGAGCAAGAGCCCGGAGAUGGAAUCUGAGACACGAUUCCAGGCCCUACGGGGCGCAGCAGGCGCGAAAACUUUACAAUGCAGGAAACUGUGAUAAGGGAACCCCGAGUGCCCGUAAACGCGGGCUGUCCCGGUGUUUAAAACACAUCGGAAGAAAGGGCCGGGCAAGACCGGUGCCAGCCGCCGCGGUAAUACCGGCGGCUCGAGUGGUGACCACUUUUAUUGGGCUUAAAGCGUUCGUAGCUUGAUUUUUAAGUCUCUUGGGAAAUCUCACGGCUUAACUGUGAGGCGUCUAAGAGAUACUGGGAAUCUAGGGACCGGGAGAGGUAAGAGGUACUUCAGGGGUAGAAGUGAAAUUCUGUAAUCCUUGAGGGACCACCGAUGGCGAAGGCAUCUUACCAGAACGGCUUCGACAGUGAGGAACGAAAGCUGGGGGAGCGAACGGGAUUAGAUACCCCGGUAGUCCCAGCCGUAAACUAUGCGCGUUAGGUGUGCCUGUAACUACGAGUUACCGGGGUGCCGAAGUGAAAACGUGAAACGUGCCGCCUGGGAAGUACGGUCGCAAGGCUGAAACUUAAAGGAAUUGGCGGGGGAGCACCACAACGGGUGGAGCCUGCGGUUUAAUUGGACUCAACGCCGGGCAGCUCACCGGAUAGGACAGCGGAAUGAUAGCCGGGCUGAAGACCUUGCUUGACCAGCUGAGAGGAGGUGCAUGGCCGUCGUCAGUUCGUACUGUGAAGCAUCCUGUUUAGUCAGGCAACGAGCGAGACCCA
rnacentral:rRNA from 1 species